rnacentral:lncRNA from 1 species
CUGGCCCCCACAGAGUCAAUGGGAUGUCCCUGCUGCCCUGGGGCCAUGGCAAGCUGCACCAACAAGAUCUUCUAGGAAAUGAUGCGGCCCAGCCCACCACCCCAUUUUGCCAAGUCAGCAGAUCCAGACUAUUCCGAGCAUGGAGGACCCUGCAGGCUCCAGAGGCCAGACGGCGGCACACAUGGCCCACCAUGUGGGACACACGUGUGUAACUCCGAGGUCAUGCCUGGGCCCCACCAGCCCUCCCUCUUGGAGUGGGGCUCCUUGCCACAGAGUCCCCUUCUCACCUUGGCUCCCCUUGAAACAGCUCCUUCCUUGACAAGACCAAAAGGCAGACUGCCCUGUUCAAUGAUUUGGACCAUCUGUAAAUGACACUUUGGGCAGUUAUGGCUGUGGAAGAACCCCAAGACUACCAUUGGAACCCCACAAAGCCUGAUCCAUUUUGCAGCUACAACCCCGUUGCCUGAUCCCAUCACGACUUGCAGAACCCAGUAGGAUUUGUGGGAUCUUGUGCUCCUAAGGGAAGCUGAGGCUCACGGCAGAGGCCACAGCAGAAGAGCCAGCACAUUCCCACCAGGGUCCAAAGUCGUUCAGAGACAUGAUGGGCAAUUAUCUACAAUCCAUACCCCUUGAAGGAAAGUUUUUGAUCCCACAUCACCUUGCCACCAUUAUCUCCACUGCUAGACAAGGAGGGGAAGCCCUUCUCAUUGGUCCAAUCCAUCCUCCUUCUCUCUUCUGCCCUUCUUGAGCUCUAACAACCUAAAGGCUAAAAAUCUCUUCUCUUUUUCUCUCUUCUUCCUGGUGCCCAGAAGACAGGAUGGAAAAGCAGAAACUCAUAACCCAAACAGAAAUGGACCUGGGAGGAGAGAGGGGUUAGCCGCAGCUCUCAGCCCAUCCCAGACAGGCUGGAGGAGCCUUGCAGAGAAGAGGCCCACGGUUGGAGCCACACAUAUUUAUUUGAGGAAAUGAUGUGACAUCAGACUAGUCAGAGUAUGACUGAGUAGGCCCACAUACUAGAUUUUCUUGAGAUUCCUAGGAACUAUACCCCUCCCAUGUCUGUGCCAUUCAUCCCAAACUCAGCAAUGAUUGAGAGCUGGUAGGAAAAGGGGAGACUACCCUGAUAACUUUCUCAAAAACCUGUUUUUCCAAGACUAAAUGGGAGGCAGAAAUUACAAACUGUUGUCUCAAUCUGAAACGGUGAACUUACCCCUCCAACCCAUCCUUCGCCAUCUCCAUCGCCUGCAAAAACCCACAGUAUAUAACUAUUCAGUUGGAAACUGAAGUGCUUCCAAUCCAGUGCUCAUUUUUCCUUUCCCUCUCCCAUAGCUACUCC